GUGCUUGUUUGGUAGCACAUAUUGUGUGUUAAAUUUGAAAUGAUACAUGCAAGGCCAGAAUGGUCCACACUCAAGGAUGACAUGCAAAAAAAAGGGAAGAUUGACCUCUAU
rnacentral:snRNA from 1 species